UUAAGAAAACGAAAGCGAAAAUGCAACAUGCUGGCAUUCCAAGGGUAGCAGCACAUUUGAACGUCGACGUCCAAUUACUUUGGUUCGAAGAAGUGGAAGACUGCAUUCGGUUAGAAGCACGCGACUUGAAGAAGACUAAGCACGGCCUAUAGACCCAAACGCGUAACGAGCUCUCGCAGACUGCGUGGACUUCACGAUGCAGGUGAGGCCCUCCGCCAUGUCUGCAGCAGCUGGUUACUCUGCUCAGCAACAGGUACCAAACGCUACAGGGCAAGUUCCAGCAUGCCCGCCGUCAGCGCCGCCGCCACUCCCUCCACCCUCUGCUCGUGUGUCAGUGCGGAAUCUGCUUCGCCGCAACAUCCUGGGCGUCAAAGGCGGCCAGCCUGGGCAGCCACAACCCGUUCCAUAGAUUGUGUAUGAAAGCUGAAAAAAAAAAGCACAAGUGGCUACCACACAGACGCCCCCAACCCAAGAGGAUUUCUCGUAUUCGUGACGACCCGAAUUCAGGCUUCAAAAAUGUGUUUCUUCGUAGAAGGAUUGUGUCAAGAAUUCAUCAAAAGCUAGUCGCGUCUUCCUUUCUUUCUUUGUCUUUCUUUUUUUUUUUCGGCGAACGCCCGUGCUGCCCGACACGUCCACGUUUGCGAGCGCCUGGGGCGCCUCGUCGAUUACCGUAUAGUUAUCUAUGAUGACGACGACGACGACGACGGCGAUGACGAUGACGACGAUGCUGGUGGUGGUGGUGGUGGUGAACGGACCAAGAAAAAAAUGCAAGGAAAACUUGCCUUUCAUUCUCCCCUUUUACGUUUUCUUUGCUUAGUGUGCCACAGAUUGUCAUUAAAAUCGCUUCAGUGCUGCA